rnacentral:misc_RNA from 1 species
AACGCACAUUGCGCCCCUUGGUAUUCCAUGGGGCAUGCCUGUUCGAGCGUCAUUUGUACCCUCAAGCUCUGCUUGGUGUUGGGUGUUUGUUCCGCUGUGCGCGUGAACUCGCCUUAAAUCAAUUGGCAGCCGGCAAUCUGGUGUUUGAGCGCAGCACAUUUUGCGCUCUUCGCUGUAUUGCGGCGUCCAUAAAGCCUAUAUUUAUGCGCUUGACCUCGGAUCAGGUAGGGAUACCCGCUGAACUUAA